rnacentral:pre_miRNA from 2 species
ACCCGUAGAUCCGAACUUGUGUUGCUUCAGUUCACAAGCUCGUGUCUAUGGGUCU